AGGUGUGAUCAUAGUAGCACUAAUGCACCGGAUCCCAUUAGAACUCCGCAGUUAAGCGAUUCGCUUUUUUCAUAGCAGCACUAAUGCUCCGUAUCAAAGGAGCACUAAUGCACAAGAUCUCAAUUA
rnacentral:rRNA from 1 species